rnacentral:rRNA from 1 species
UUAAGCGACUAAGCGUACACGGUGGAUGCCCUGGCAGUCAGAGGCGAUGAAGGACGUGCUAAUCUGCGAUAAGCGUCGGUAAGGUGAUAUGAACCGUUAUAACCGGCGAUUUCCGAAUGGGGAAACCCAGUGUGAUUCGUCACACUAUCAUUAACUGAAUCCAUAGGUUAAUGAGGCGAACCGGGGGAACUGAAACAUCUAAGUACCCCGAGGAAAAGAAAUCAACCGAGAUUCCCCCAGUAGCGGCGAGCGAACGGGGAGCAGCCCAGAGCCUGAAUCAGUGUGUGUGUUAGUGGAAGCGUCUGGAAAGGCGCGCGAUACAGGGUGACAGCCCCGUACACAAAAAUGCACAUACUGUGAGCUCGAUGAGUAGGGCGGGACACGUGGUAUCCUGUCUGAAUAUGGGGGGACCAUCCUCCAAGGCUAAAUACUCCUGACUGACCGAUAGUGAACCAGUACCGUGAGGGAAAGGCGAAAAGAACCCCGGCGAGGGGAGUGAAAAAGAACCUGAAACCGUGUACGUACAAGCAGUGGGAGCCUCUUAAUGGGGUGACUGCGUACCUUUUGUAUAAUGGGUCAGCGACUUAUAUUCUGUAGCAAGGUUAACCGAAUAGGGGAGCCGAAGGGAAACCGAGUCUUAACUGGGCGUUAAGUUGCAGGGUAUAGACCCGAAACCCGGUGAUCUAGCCAUGGGCAGGUUGAAGGUUGGGUAACACUAACUGGAGGACCGAACCGACUAAUGUUGAAAAAUUAGCGGAUGACUUGUGGCUGGGGGUGAAAGGCCAAUCAAACCGGGAGAUAGCUGGUUCUCCCCGAAAGCUAUUUAGGUAGCGCCUCGUGAAUUCAUCUCCGGGGGUAGAGCACUGUUUCGGCAAGGGGGUCAUCCCGACUUACCAACCCGAUGCAAACUGCGAAUACCGGAGAAUGUUAUCACGGGAGACACACGGCGGGUGCUAACGUCCGUCGUGAAGAGGGAAACAACCCAGACCGCCAGCUAAGGUCCCAAAGUCAUGGUUAAGUGGGAAACGAUGUGGGAAGGCCCAGACAGCCAGGAUGUUGGCUUAGAAGCAGCCAUCAUUUAAAGAAAGCGUAAUAGCUCACUGGUCGAGUCGGCCUGCGCGGAAGAUGUAACGGGGCUAAACCAUGCACCGAAGCUGCGGCAGCGACGCUUAUGCGUUGUUGGGUAGGGGAGCGUUCUGUAAGCCUGCGAAGGUGUGCUGUGAGGCAUGCUGGAGGUAUCAGAAGUGCGAAUGCUGACAUAAGUAACGAUAAAGCGGGUGAAAAGCCCGCUCGCCGGAAGACCAAGGGUUCCUGUCCAACGUUAAUCGGGGCAGGGUGAGUCGACCCCUAAGGCGAGGCCGAAAGGCGUAGUCGAUGGGAAACAGGUUAAUAUUCCUGUACUUGGUGUUACUGCGAAGGGGGGACGGAGAAGGCUAUGUUGGCCGGGCGACGGUUGUCCCGGUUUAAGCGUGUAGGCUGGUUUUCCAGGCAAAUCCGGAAAAUCAAGGCUGAGGCGUGAUGACGAGGCACUACGGUGCUGAAGCAACAAAUGCCCUGCUUCCAGGAAAAGCCUCUAAGCAUCAGGUAACAUCAAAUCGUACCCCAAACCGACACAGGUGGUCAGGUAGAGAAUACCAAGGCGCUUGAGAGAACUCGGGUGAAGGAACUAGGCAAAAUGGUGCCGUAACUUCGGGAGAAGGCACGCUGAUAUGUAGGUGAAGUCCCUCGCGGAUGGAGCUGAAAUCAGUCGAAGAUACCAGCUGGCUGCAACUGUUUAUUAAAAACACAGCACUGUGCAAACACGAAAGUGGACGUAUACGGUGUGACGCCUGCCCGGUGCCGGAAGGUUAAUUGAUGGGGUUAGCGCAAGCGAAGCUCUUGAUCGAAGCCCCGGUAAACGGCGGCCGUAACUAUAACGGUCCUAAGGUAGCGAAAUUCCUUGUCGGGUAAGUUCCGACCUGCACGAAUGGCGUAAUGAUGGCCAGGCUGUCUCCACCCGAGACUCAGUGAAAUUGAACUCGCUGUGAAGAUGCAGUGUACCCGCGGCAAGACGGAAAGACCCCGUGAACCUUUACUAUAGCUUGACACUGAACAUUGAGCCUUGAUGUGUAGGAUAGGUGGGAGGCUUUGAAGUGUGGACGCCAGUCUGCAUGGAGCCGACCUUGAAAUACCACCCUUUAAUGUUUGAUGUUCUAACGUUGGCCCCUGAUCGGGGUUGCGGACAGUGUCUGGUGGGUAGUUUGACUGGGGCGGUCUCCUCCUAAAGAGUAACGGAGGAGCACGAAGGUUGGCUAAUCCUGGUCGGACAUCAGGAGGUUAGUGCAAUGGCAUAAGCCAGCUUGACUGCGAGCGUGACGGCGCGAGCAGGUGCGAAAGCAGGUCAUAGUGAUCCGGUGGUUCUGAAUGGAAGGGCCAUCGCUCAACGGAUAAAAGGUACUCCGGGGAUAACAGGCUGAUACCGCCCAAGAGUUCAUAUCGACGGCGGUGUUUGGCACCUCGAUGUCGGCUCAUCACAUCCUGGGGCUGAAGUAGGUCCCAAGGGUAUGGCUGUUCGCCAUUUAAAGUGGUACGCGAGCUGGGUUUAGAACGUCGUGAGACAGUUCGGUCCCUAUCUGCCGUGGGCGCUGGAGAACUGAGGGGGGCUGCUCCUAGUACGAGAGGACCGGAGUGGACGCAUCACUGGUGUUCGGGUUGUCAUGCCAAUGGCACUGCCCGGUAGCUAAAUGCGGAAGAGAUAAGUGCUGAAAGCAUCUAAGCACGAAACUUGCCCCGAGAUGAGUUCUCCCUGACUCCCUGAGAGUCCUGAAGGAACGUUGAAGACGACGACGUUGAUAGGCCGGGUGUGUAAGCGCAGCGAUGCGUUGAGCUAACCGGUACUAAUGAACCGUGAGGCUUAACCU